ACGAUGGCGAGGAUGAAAGCAGAGUUGUACAGAAACAUGAUGAGAGAGACCCAGAGAAAUGUGCGGAAGAGGCGGGAGAAGACGGGAGGUAUGGCGGACAUGGUGGAGGAGAACGAGACGGCCUUGCCGGCGUAGAUGGAGGCGACGGUGAAGACGACGGCGGCGGUGGCGAGGAGGGAGAAGGUGAAGAGGAAGAGUAGGUAGAUGAACUCGUAGAGCAAGAGGAGGGCCCACUCGUGGCCAUGGGAGGCGGCGGGGGACGAUUUGAGGCGAUGGAGGAUGGGGUGGGUGAAGAUGGUGUGGGCGAGGACGGCGAAGGAGAGCGGGAAGACGAGGACGAGCGUGAUGAGGGAGAAGGUCCGGGGAGAAGCUCGGGGGAUGGAGAUCGAUUCCCGGAGGACUUCCCUCAGGCUCAGCUCCUGCAACUCCUCCGGCGGCCGAUCCAUCCCCCCCCCCCUCCCCCACUCCACGCCUCGUGAUCUGCAAGACGGAGAGAGAGAAGAGUGGGAAGAGAGAGAGAGAGAGGGUAGAGAGAGAAGAGAGCUAGGAGAAGAAAGAGGAGAGAGAGAAGAGAGAGAGAGAGAGAGAGUAGAGGGGGCUGGAUCGUCGUCUUCCUCCACGCGACUCCGAUCUACUUUUUUGGAAGUGCUU
rnacentral:lncRNA from 1 species